UUAAUUUGAAUGUUAUGUGUGGAACAAUUCGAUUCUAUUAAAGAUUAGAGUUGAAAUAGAUAUUUGUUAUGUUAUUCUCUCUUAUUUUAUUUUAUUUUUUGUAUAGUAUAGAAUGUGUGGGAUAAUUUCUACUUAUUUCCUAACUUAGAGUUUAGAACAUUAUAGUAGUUGAUGUUUUAAGGUAAGAUAGAUAACAAAUUUAGUUUUUGUUGUUUUGAAUGAUUAUUAUCAACCAAAAAUAAGAUCAAUUAGAUUUUAACCUGCGGUACACCGCGGAGACAAUUUAUUUUUUAAAGUUAUUAUAUAUAAAAAUUUGCAAAUUGUAUUUAUCUAUAAAAUAUUUUUAUUUUAUAGUUUACAAUUGUUAUUAAGUAACGUCCUGCCAAACUCGCCCCGCUAAGUCUGUCCCGUAAAAAAAAACCAUUUAUUUUAUUAAUAUUGAUCUUAUUUAUGAUAUGUUUAUGAAUUAUUGUCUAUGUAUUUUAGUCGAUGCGGGACGUUAUUUUUCGCCAAUUGGUUAAUAUAUGUUCAUUUUUUAAAAGUCGAAUCACAAAAUAUGACGGAAUUUUUUUUGAGAUUUUUUAAAACUCUAUAUAUUAUAUAAUGAUGUUAAAAAUUGUGAUAUA
rnacentral:sRNA from 1 species